rnacentral:rRNA from 1 species
AUGACGGCCUUCGGGUUGUAAACUCCUUUUGCGGGGGACGAUCAUGACGGUACCCCGCGAAUAAGGCUCGGCUAACUCUGUGCCAGCAGCCGCGGUAAUACAGAGGAGCCAAGCGUUGUCCGGAUUGACUGGGCGUAAAGCGCACGCAGGCGGACGCGCGCGUGGGGUGUGAAAUCUGGCCGCUUAACGGCCAGGCGCCAUCCCAUACGGCACGACUGGAGUGAUGCAGAGGUCGAUGGAAUUGCCGGUGUAGUGGUGAAAUGCGUAGAGAUCGGCAGGAACACCCAGGGGGAAACCAGUCGACUGGGCAUCUACUGACGCUGAGGUGCGAGAGCGUGGGGAGCGAACCGGAUUAGAUACCCGGGUAGUCCACGCCGUAAACGAUGGCCACUCGGCCUUUGGCGGCGGAAUCUCCGCCGGUGGGGGCCUUAGCUAACGCGGGAAGUGGCCCGCCUGGGAACUACGAGCGCAAGCUUAAAACUCAAA